GAUGAACGCUGGCGGCGUGCCUAACACAUGCAAGUUGAGCGGACCAAUGCUCAUUUCAGCUUUGCUGAUUUGAGCAACGGUUAGCGGCGGACGGGUGAGUAACGCGUGGGCAACCUGCCCUGUGCAGGGGGAUAACACAGCGAAAGCUGUGCUAAUACCCCAUAAGACUACGCUAUCGCAUGAUAGAGUAGUCAAAGCUUUAGCGGCACAGGAUGGGCCCGCGUCUGAUUAGCUAGUUGGUGGGGUAACGGCCUACCAAGGCGACGAUCAGUAGCCGACCUGAGAGGGUGAUCGGCCACACUGGAACUGAGACACGGUCCAGACUCCUACGGGAGGCAGCAGUGGGGAAUAUUGCACAAUGGGGGAAACCCUGAUGCAGCAACGCCGCGUGAGCGAAGAAGGCCUUCGGGUCGUAAAGCUCUGUCCUAAGGGAAGAAGCAUGACGGUACCUUAGGAGGAAGCCCCGGCUAACUACGUGCCAGCAGCCGCGGUAAUACGUAGGGGGCGAGCGUUAUCCGGAAUCACCGGGCGUAAAGGGUGCGUAGGCGGCCGAGUAAGCCAGAGGUGAAAGGCUACGGCUUAACCGUAGUAAGCCUUUGGAACUACUUGGCUUGAGUGCAGGAGAGGAGAGUGGAAUUCCUAGUGUAGCGGUGAAAUGCGUAGAUAUUAGGAGGAACACCAGUGGCGAAAGCGACUCUCUGGACUGUAACUGACGCUGAGGCACGAAAGCGUGGGGAGCAAACAGGAUUAGAUACCCUGGUAGUCCACGCCGUAAACGAUGAGUGCUAGGUGUCGGGGGUUCACACCCUCGGUGCCGGAGUUAACGCAAUAAGCACUCCGCCUGGGGAG
rnacentral:rRNA from 1 species